UAGUAAUCGCGCAUCAGCCAUGGCGCGGUGAAUACGUUCCCGGGCCUUGUACACACCGCCCGUCAAGCCAUGAAAGCUGGGGGCGCCUGAAGUCCGUAGCCGCAAGGGUCGGCCUAGGGCGAAACCGGUAAUUGGGGCUAAGUCGUAACAAGGUAGCCGUACCGGAAGGUGCGGCUGGAACACCUCCUUU
rnacentral:rRNA from 1 species